rnacentral:rRNA from 1 species
GACGAACGCUGGCUGCGUGCUUAACACAUGCAAGUCGAACGGAAAGGCCCUGCUUUUGUGGGGUGCUCGAGUGGCGAACGGGUGAGUAACACGUGAGUAACCUGCCCUUGACUUUGGGAUAACUUCAGGAAACUGGGGCUAAUACCGGAUAGGAGCUCCUGCUGCAUGGUGGGGGUUGGAAAGUUUCGGCGGUUGGGGAUGGACUCGCGGCUUAUCAGCUUGUUGGUGGGGUAGUGGCUUACCAAGGCUUUGACGGGUAGCCGGCCUGAGAGGGUGACCGGCCACAUUGGGACUGAGAUACGGCCCAGACUCCUACGGGAGGCAGCAGUGGGGAAUAUUGCACAAUGGGCGGAAGCCUGAUGCAGCAACGCCGCGUGCGGGAUGACGGCCUUCGGGUUGUAAACCGCUUUCGCCUGUGACGAAGCGUGAGUGACGGUAAUGGGUAAAGAAGCACCGGCUAACUACGUGCCAGCAGCCGCGGUGAUACGUAGGGUGCGAGCGUUGUCCGGAUUUAUUGGGCGUAAAGGGCUCGUAGGUGUUGAUCGCGUCGGAAGUGUAAUCUUGGGGCUUAACCCUGAGCGUGCUUUCGAUACGGGUUGACUUGAGGAAGGUAGGGGAGAAUGGAAUUCCUGGUGGAGCGGUGGAAUGCGCAGAUAUCAGGAGGAACACCAGUGGCGAAGGCGGUUCUCUGGGCCUUUCCUGACGCUGAGGAGCGAAAGCGUGGGGAGCGAACAGGCUUAGAUACCCUGGUAGUCCACGCUGUAAACGGUGGGUACUAGGUGUAGGGUCCAUUCCACGGGUUCCGUGCCGUAGCUAACGCUUUAAGUACCCCGCCUGGGGAGUACGGCCGCAAGGCUAAAACUCAAAGGAAUUGACGGGGCCCCGCACAAGCGGCGGAGCAUGCGGAUUAAUUCGAUGCAACGCGUAGAACCUUACCUGGGUUUGACAUGGAUCGGGAGUGCUCAGAGAUGGGUGUGCCUCUUUUGGGGUCGGUUCACAGGUGGUGCAUGGCUGUCGUCAGCUCGUGUCGUGAGAUGUUGGGUUAAGUCCCGCAACGAGCGCAACCCUUGUUCACUGUUGCCAGCACGUUAUGGUGGGGACUCAGUGGAGACCGCCGGGGUCAACUCGGAGGAAGGUGGGGAUGACGUCAAGUCAUCAUGCCCCUUAUGUCCAGGGCUUCACGCAUGCUACAAUGGCUGGUACAGAGAGUGGCGAGCCUGUGAGGGUGAGCGAAUCUCGGAAAGCCGGUCUCAGUUCGGAUUGGGGCCUGCAACUCGACCUCAUGAAGUCGGAGUCGCUAGUAAUCGCAGAUCAGCAACGCUGUGGUGAAUACGUUCCCGGGGCU